rnacentral:lncRNA from 1 species
UUUAUUACUAUAUAUUUUGGAGAGUGAUACUUUAGUGUUUUAUUUAAAUAAUUAACAGUUGACAUAAAUGCAUAUGGAUAUGUACAAUUUAUUUUAUUAUUAUUAUUACUACUAUUGUUAUUAUUAUUACUAUUAUUGUUAUUAUUACUACUACUAUUGUUAUUAUUAUUACUAUUAUUGUUAUUAUUAUUACUAUUAUUGUUAUUAUUACUACUAUUGUUACUAUUAUUACUAUUAUUGUUAUUAUUACUAUUAUUGUUAUUUCUUUUUUUUUUCUUGCUAUUAGAUAUAAUUAUGACGUACUGGAAAAUAACAAUUUGUUCGUUAAUUUGCUGCCAAAUAAUAAAUAUAUCUUUUCAAUAUGUUCUAAUAUUUAUAAUUCAUAUUACAAUGUUUUACAUGGACAUAACAAAACGUCAACUAUAAAAUAUAUUACGUCUACAUUAGGUCUAAGAACAUAUAUUAUUUCAAAUAAUAUUAAGGAUAUUAAAAAUUACAUACUCGGGUCUAUUCAUCUAGGAUAUGCUUUAAUUUUUAAAAACAUUGACAAAGUUAAAGUUGAAAUGUUAUCAGUGUUAACAAACACUUUUAGGUCUAUUCAAACAUGUAAGAAACUCUUUUUAAAAAAAAGUUAUACAACUAAAUAAAUGUAGAUGUUUAUUAUAAAAAUGGGUGCAUUAAUGUAUAUGCAUCUGUAUGUGUGAUAAUGCAUAAGG